rnacentral:rRNA from 1 species
GGGCAUGGCGCAGCUACACAUGCAGUCGAGCGGAACGAGUUAUCUGAACCUUCGGGGAACGAUAACGGCGUCGAGCGGCGGACGGGUGAGUAAUGCCUAGGAAAUUGCCCUGAUGUGGGGGAUAACCAUUGGAAACGAUGGCUAAUACCGCAUGAUGCCUACGGGCCAAAGAGGGGGACCUUCGGGCCUCUCGCGUCAGGAUAUGCCUAGGUGGGAUUAGCUAGUUGGUGAGGUAAGGGCUCACCAAGGCGACGAUCCCUAGCUGGUCUGAGAGGAUGAUCAGCCACACUGGAACUGAGACACGGUCCAGACUCCUACGGGAGGCAGCAGUGGGGAAUAUUGCACAAUGGGCGCAAGCCUGAUGCAGCCAUGCCGCGUGUGUGAAGAAGGCCUUCGGGUUGUAAAGCACUUUCAGUCGUGAGGAAGGUGGUGUAGUUAAUAGCUGCAUUAUUUGACGUUAGCGACAGAAGAAGCACCGGCUAACUCCGUGCCAGCAGCCGCGGUAAUACGGAGGGUGCGAGCGUUAAUCGGAAUUACUGGGCGUAAAGCGCAUGCAGGUGGUUUGUUAAGUCAGAUGUGAAAGCCCGGGGCUCAACCUCGGAAUAGCAUUUGAAACUGGCAGACUAGAGUACUGUAGAGGGGGGUAGAAUUUCAGGUGUAGCGGUGAAAUGCGUAGAGAUCUGAAGGAAUACCGGUGGCGAAGGCGGCCCCCUGGACAGAUACUGACACUCAGAUGCGAAAGCGUGGGGAGCAAACAGGUUAGACCCC